rnacentral:rRNA from 1 species
GACGAACGCUGGCGGCGUGCUUAACACAUGCAAGUCGAACGGAAAGGCCCUGCUUUUGUGGGGUGCUCGAGUGGCGAACGGGUGAGUAACACGUGAGUAACCUGCCCUUGACUUUGGGAUAACUUCAGGAAACUGGGGCUAAUACCGGAUAGGAGCUCCUGCUGCAUGGUGGGGGUUGGAAAGUUUCGGCGGGUGGGGAUGGACUCGCGGCUUAUCAGCUUGUUGGUGGGGUAGUGGCUUACCAAGGCUUUGACGGGUAGCCGGCCUGAGAGGGUGACCGGCCACAUUGGGACUGAGAUACGGCACAGACUCCUACGGGAGGCAGAAGUGGGGAAUAUUGCACAAUGGGCGGAAGCCUGAUGCAGCAACGCCGCGUGCGGGAUGACGGCCUUCGGGUUGUAAACCGCUUUCGCCUGUGACGAAGCGUGAGUGACGGUAAUGGGUAAAGAAGCACCGGCUAACUACGUG